UGAAAAGGUAGUUAAAUAAGUACAUGGCAAG
rnacentral:piRNA from 1 species